GGUAGCCAAAUGCCUCGUCAUC
rnacentral:ncRNA from 4 species